rnacentral:rRNA from 1 species
AUGAACGCUGGCGGCGUGCCUAAUACAUGCAAGUCGAGCGAACGGACGAGAAGCUUGCUUUUCUGAUGUUAGCGGCGGACGGGUGAGUAACACGUGGAUAACCUACCUAUAAGACUGGGAUAACUUCGGGAAACCGGAGCUAAUACCGGAUAAUAUUUUGAACCGCAUGGUUCAAAGGUGAAAGACGGUCUUGCUGUCUCUUAUAGAUGGAUCCGCGCUGCAUUAGCUAGUUGGUAAGGUAACGGCUUACCAAGGCAACGAUGCAUAGCCGACCUGAGAGGGUGAUCGGCCACACUGGAACUGAGACACGGUCCAGACUCCUACGGGAGGCAGCAGUAGGGAAUCUUCCGCAAAGGGCGAAAGCCUGACGGAGCAACGCCGCGUGAGUGAUGAAGGUCUUCGGAUCGUAAAACUCUGUUAUUAGGGAAGAACAUAUGUGUAAGUAACUGUGCACAUCUUGACGGUACCUAAUCAGAAAGCCACGGCUAACUACGUG